rnacentral:rRNA from 1 species
AUACGUAGGUGACAAGCGUUAUCCGGAUUUACUGGGCGUAAAGGGCGUGUAGGCGGUCUUGCAAGUCAGAAGUGAAAUUCCUGAGCUCAACUCGGGCGCUGCUUCUGAAACUGCAAGACUUGAGUGCUGGAGGGGAUAGCGGAAUUCCUAGUGGAGCGGUAAAAUGCGCAGAUAUUAGGAAGAACACCGGUGGCGAAGGCGGCUAUCUGGUCAGUACCUGACGCUGGGGCGCGAAAGCGUGGGGAGCAAACAGGAUUAGAUACCCUGGUAGGCCACGCCGUAAACGAUGAAUACCAAGUGUAGGGGGUAUCGACUCCCUCUGUGCCGCAGUUAACACAAUAAGUAUUCCGCCUGGGGAGUACGGCCGCAAGGUUGAAACUCAAAUGAAUUGACGGGG